rnacentral:rRNA from 1 species
CGGCGAGUGAGCGGCAAAAGCUCAAAUUUGAAAUCUGGCACCUUCGGUGUCCGAGUUGUAAUUUGAAGAUUGUAACCUUGGGGUUGGCUCUUGUCUAUGUUUCUUGGAACAGGACGUCACAGAGGGUGAGAAUCCCGUGCGAUGAGAUGCCCAAUCCUAUGUAAGGUGCUUUCGAAGAGUCGAGUUGUUUGGGAAUGCAGCUCUAAGUGGGUGGUAAAUUCCAUCUAAAGCUAAAUAUUGGCGAGAGACCGAUAGCGAACAAGUACAGUGAUGGAAAGAUGAAAAGAACUUUGAAAAGAGAGUGAAAAAGUACGUGAAAUUGUUGAAAGGGAAGGGUUUGAGAUCAGACUCGAUAUUUUGUGAGCCUUGCCUUCGUGGCGGGGUGACCCGCAGCUUAUCGGGCCAGCAUCGGUUUGGGCGGUAGGAUAAUGGCGUAGGAAUGUGACUUUGCUUCGGUGAAGUGUUAUAGCCUGCGUUGAUGCUGCCUGCCUAGACCGAGGACUGCGAUUUUAUCAAGGAUGCUGGCAUAAUGAUCCCAAACCGCCCGUCUUGA